rnacentral:rRNA from 1 species
UACGAAGGGUGCAAGCGUUGUUCGGAGUUACUGGGCGUAAAGAGUGCGUAGGCGGUUUUCUAAGUUUGGUGUGAAAUCUCCCGGCUCAACUGGGAGGGUGCGCCGAAGACUGGAAGGCUUGAGUAUGGGAGAGGUAAGCGGAAUUCCUGGUGUAGCGGUGAAAUGCGUAGAUAUCAGGAGGAACACCUGCGGUGUAGACGGCUUACUGGACCAUAACUGACGCUGAGGCACGAAAGCGUGGGUAGCAAACAGG